rnacentral:rRNA from 1 species
GACAGAGGUCCCGAGCGUUAGGCGGAAUCACUGGGCUUAAAGCGUGUGUAGGCGGAUUUGUAAGUACCUUGUGAAAUCCCACGGCUUAACCGUGGAACUGCUGGGUAUACUGCGAGUCUUGAGCCACCUAGGGGCAACCGGAACAAACGGUGGAGCGGUGAAAUGCGUAGAUAUCGUUUGGAACGCCAAUGGUGAAAACAGGUUGCUGGGGGUGUGCUGACGCUGAGACACGAAAGCCAGGGGAGCGAACGGG